rnacentral:rRNA from 1 species
UUCACCCCGGGUUGGUUCUGCCUGUUAUAUGUGCUAGUGUCGAAGAUUUAGCCAUGCAUGCUUUACGAAUUCACAAGAAGAAGUGGCGGACAGCUCAGUAAUACAGUUAUAAUAUACUCUCUACUAAAGGAUAACCGCGGUAAGCUGCGGGUAAAACUUCAAGCUAUGUGUUUCAUGAAAGAAUUUAUAGUUCAGAGUGUUAGUUUCUGGCCUAUUAGUUAGUAGGUAAUGUAAGGGAUUACCUAGACUAUUAUGGGUAACGGGAGAUGAAUGUCUGAUACCGGAGAGGAAGCCUUAGAAACCGCUUUCACGUCCAAGGAUGGCAGCAGGCGCGAAACUUACCCAAUCGUUUUUUAAGACGGAGGUAGUUAUGACACAUGUGAAUUAUUCACGAGGAAGAUCAAUAAAUCAGAUUUUUUUUACUGGAGGGCAAGUCUGGUGCCAGCAGCCGCGGUAAUUCCAGCUCCAGUAGUGCAUAUACAUGCUGUAGUUAGAAAGUUUGUAGCCGUAUAAGCUUGAAUCAGAGGAAAGGAGGACUCUUAAGGUAAACUUUAACUCUGGUCAAUGCUUAUAUUCGAAGCGGAUGGAGGCACUUGUAUUCAAUAGCGAGAGGUAAAAUUUGAUGACCUAUUGAGGACAAUCAGUAGCGAAAGCGAGUGUCUAGUACGCGUUUGAGGGUCAAGAACGUUAGCCGGAGGAUCGAAGAUGAUUAGAUACCGUUGUAGUUCCGGCCGUAAACCAUGCCUACUUGCCUUGUACAUAGUAUGAAGCAUAGAGAAAUUAAGAGUUUUUGGGCUCUAGGGAUAGUAAUCCGGCAACGGACAAACUUAAAGAAAUUGGCGGAAGGACACCACAAGGAGUGGAUUGUGCGGCUCAACUUGACUCAACACGGGAAAUCUUACCAGGGUCUGUAUAUGUGAGACUGUCCCAUUUAUGGUGGUACACGAUAAUAUACUGAGUGGUGCAUGGCCGUUUUCAACACGUGGGGUGACCUGUCAGGUUUAUUCCGGUAACGUGUGAGGUCACAGUAUUAAUAAAUAUUUUAAUAGACAGCUAAUGGUAAAUUAGAGGAAGUGUGACGAUAACAGGUCAGUGAUGCCCUUAGAUACCCUGGGCUGCACGCGCAAUACAUUGAGUAAGUCAUUUACAAUUGUAAUUUUGAAACUUACUCGCUACUGGGAUCAUCCUUUGUAAUUGGGAUGUGAACGUGGAAUUCCUAGUAAUCGUAGCUCACUAAGUUACGAUGAAUGUGUCCCUGUUCUUUGCACACACCGCCCGUCGCUAUCUAAGAUGGAUGUUGAUAUGAAAUUGCUGCUUGAAUGUGAGGUACUUGAGUAUUAACAACUAGAUAAGAUAUAAGUCGUAACAAGGCUGCUAUAGAAGAAUCUGUGGCAGGAUCAUA